UGGCGGCAUGCCUAACACAUGCAAGUCGAACGGAGCUUCGAGAGCUUGCUUUGAAAGCUUAGUGGCGGACGGGUGAGUAACGCGUGAGCAACCUGCCUUUCAGUGGGGAAUAAUAUUCUGAAAAGAGUACUAAUACCGCAUAACGUACAGAAACCGCAUGAUUUUUGUAACCAAAGAUUUAUCGCUGAGAGAUGGGCUCGCGUCCGAUUAGCCAGUUGGUGGGGUAACGGCCUACCAAAGCGACGAUCGGUAGCCGGACUGAGAGGUUGAACGGCCACAUUGGGACUGAGACACGGCCCAGACUCCUACGGGAGGCAGCAGGUGGGGGAUAUUGCGCAAGUGGGGGAAACCCUGAACCGCAGCAAUGCCGCGUGGAGGAUCGAAGGUCUUCGGAUUGUAAACUCCUUUUGUCAGGGACGAAAAAUGACGGUACCUGACGAAUAAGCUCCGGCUAACUACGUGCCAGCCGCCGC
rnacentral:rRNA from 1 species